rnacentral:rRNA from 1 species
GACGAACGCUGGCGGCGUGCCUAACACAUGCAAGUCGAACGGAAAGGCCCUGCUUUUGUGGGGUGCUCGAGUGGCGCGGGGGUGUGUAACACGUGAGUAACCCGCCCUUGACUUUGGGAUAUCUUCAGGAAACUGGGGAUAAUACCGGAUAGGAGCUCCUGCAGCAUGGUGGUCGUUGGAAAGUUUCGGCGGUUGGGGAUCGACUCGCGGCUUAUCAGCUUGUUGGGGGGGUAGUUGCUUACCAGGGCUUUGACGGCUAGCCGGCCUGGGAGGGGGGACGGCGACCUGAGUACUGCGAUAGGGAGCAGUCUCGUAUGGGAGGCAAUAGGGGAAAAUCUUGCACAACGGGCCGGAGCGUGAUACGACAACGUUCGGAUCGUGAAGAAGGCCUACUGGUGGUGAACCGCUGUCGCCUGUGACGAAGCGUUAGUGACGGUAAUGGGUAAAGAAGCACCGGCUAACUACGUG